CCGGCCCAUGAACAAGGCCCAAAUAUUAGUCCCACCGCAAACCUUGUCAGUCGUCUCCACACUCUUCCUUUCCAAACCCUAGCUCCCAAAUCCCCUUCGCACCGAGAUCUGAUAUUGACUUCCCCGCCCCACCGCCGUCAUGGCCACCGGCGGCAACCCCAAUCCCAACGCCAACCCCGGCCAGCCACGCCCGCAGCAGCAGCCGCCGGGAAGCUCUCCGGCGACCCCGCAUAACCACAUGCGCCCCCCCACUCUCGGCGGUUCCCCCUUUCAGGGUCUUUUCCACACCCCGCCUAGCCACAAUCCUGCUUUCCAGAUUCACAUGGGCGCAGCCUCCUCUCCCCAGACCCCACUAAUGGCCGCGGCCGCGGCCGCGGCCUCCGCCGCCGCAUCGGCCAAGCGCCCUCCCCAGAAGCCCCCUUCGCGUCCGCCGGCACCCACCUCCAACGCCGCCGCAGCGUCCAUGGCCGCCGCUUAUAAGGCUGCUAACUCCGGCAGCGUCGACCUCACCCCCGCUGCGCGCCGCAACAAGAAGCGCAAACUCCCGGAGAAGCAGCUCCCGGACCGCGUCGCCGCGCUGUUGCCAGAGUCCGCGCUCUACACGCAGCUCCUCGAGUUCGAGGCCCGCGUAGACGCAGCGCUCGCGCGCAAGAAGGUGGACAUUCAGGAGGCGCUCAAGACACCACCGUCCCUCCAGCGCACGCUCCGCAUCUACGUCUUCAACACCUUCGCCAACCAGGCGCCCCGCACCAUCCCGCCGCCCAAGAAUGGCGAUCCGCCCACCUGGUCGCUCAAGAUCAUUGGCCGUGUGCUUGAAGACGGCGCGGAGCUGGACCCAGCCAGUGUCGUGCCGAAGCACAACCCAGUGUAUCCGAAAUUCUCCUCGUUCUUUAAGAGGGUGACUAUUGCUCUUGAUUCGUCACUCUACCCAGAGAACCCACUGAUCGUUUGGGAGAAUGCCCGGUCUGCUGCGCCUCAGGAAGGGUUUGAGGUGAAGAGGAAAGGGGAUAAGGAGUUUCUUGCCAAUAUCCGUCUGGAGAUGAAUUAUAACCCUGAGAAGUUCAAGCUGUCACAGCCACUGAUGGAGGUGCUUGGGGUCGAGGUGGACACUCGUGCAAGGGUGAUUGCAGCCCUUUGGCAGUACAUCAAGGCAAAGAAGCUACAGAAUCCAAGCGACCCUUCGUACUUUAUGUGUGACCCCCAACUGAAGAAGGUAUUUGGGGAGGAUAAAAUGAGGUUUGCUAUGCUGUCUCAGAAGAUAUCGCAACAUCUUGCUCCUCCACCGCCCAUCAACUUGGAACAUAAGAUCAAGCUAUCAGGGAAUGGAGCAAACUCGAGUGCUUGCUAUGAUGUAUUGGUAGAUGUUCCUUUCCCACUGCAGAAGGAGAUGACAGCAUUUCUUGCCAAUACUGAGAAGCACAAGGACAUUGAGGCAUGUGAUGAGGUGAUAUCUGCUUCAAUCAAGAAGAUCCAUGAGCAUCGUAGGAGGAGGGCGUUCUUCCUUGGGUUCAGCCAGUCUCCAGUGGAGUUCAUUAAUGCGUUGAUAGCAUCCCAGAGUAAAGAUUUGAAGCUUGUUGCUGGUGAAGCGAGUAGGAAUAUUGAAAGGGAAAGGCGUGCAGACUUCUAUAACCAGCCAUGGGUUGAGGAUGCUGUUAUAAGAUAUUUGAAUCGUAAACCGCCUGGUGGCAACGAUGGCCCUGGUGCUGGUGGUUCUUGAGGAGAAGAUUGUUGUAGUUCCCUUUGGUGUAGAAACAAGUCGUCUGUCCUGUAUCAGUAUAAUUCAGAGAUGGUAGUGACAAGAAAAUUGUUAGAUGUUGCGGAGGAACCUGGCAGUUUUACCUCCUUUGUCUGCUGAAAUGGUUUACCUAUUGUAUGGUUUGUAUGGCGUGUGGGGCAACGGGGUUCUCACUGGGCACCAUGUCAAUGAGGAAGAUGUGGAGAUGACCUGAGGAAGUGGGCCUUCUGUAUUUGAACGUGGAAGUGGAGGGAGAUGCAAAGAGAUGAUGCCUCAGUCCUUGUCUUCAGUACCUCGAGGAUUAUGAUAACUGGUGGUGUCUCUUGGGCCGUCCCUCUUUUAUCCGUGGGUCCCUUUAUUCUUUGAUGAUCAGUUUAUUCAGUUUUGGCUCUCAAGGGUAUGGUGCUUACGAGUGCUUUUGCAUAUUGUGUUCCCAGGGUGUGAUAGGGUAUAUUUGUAUCUUGGCCCUGUUUACUGUUCUUGUCUUUCUUAAAGAAAACUGGUUAUGACUAUUAUC
rnacentral:rRNA from 1 species